rnacentral:lncRNA from 1 species
GCCCAGAUGUUUCUUAGGACCAGCCCGUAUUCAGAAAGCGGUGGAUUGAGAUGCAAAAUGUUCUGCGAUAGCCUAACAGGUUCGGCCCACGGCAACACCUCUCGUGCUCUCUCUCUUCUGUCAUCACCACCACAGCCGCACAGUCCUGGAAAUGGAUUAAACCAAAUGGUGAACCCUCACUCGCCACUUAUGCAACCCUUGGGCCUGAGCCUGCAUGAUAACAGCCUGGGCUCCGUGGACCCGGUUUUGGGCCCCAACGGGAGUGACCAUUCCUCAUCAAUGCAUCACAUAGGUUCUAAUGGAUCCCAGGUGAAUGAGGCCCCUCCACUAUUUCCCUUUCAAUGGGAAUAGACUUCAAUUAUAAGGACUCGUCCUUUGGUUGUUGAUUCUUUCCCUCGUACUAUUUCAAUGUUCAAUUUAUCUUUUAAUGAAGGCAAUGAACUAUAUCCAUCACGUUUAACAAAAUGGUGUGGAAAUUUUUCAUGUCUUUAAAAGUGAUGAGUUUGUUGCUGUGCACCAUCAAAAACUAUAUUUCCUCCACUUUCUUGUCUUUCCAUUUUAUAUUCUUUGAAGCAGCACCACAUUUCAAUGUGCCAGUGCAUAACUUACAAAACGCACAAUUUUUUAUUUAUUGAAGUAAUGGUGCUGAUUUACCCACAAGACUCUGAUAUCAAAAUUAUAAAAAGUAUGAGUUGAAAAUUAACAAAAAUUAGAAGGAAAAUGUGUAACUCUUAGGUGAAUGCAUACCAAAAUUUUCUCCCUUGCAAGGUAGUAUGGGAGUGCCAUUCUCGUGUAUUAAGGGAAUGAUACAUUACAUGAUCAUCCCUUCGUGUCAUUCUCACUUAUUAUUAGUUGGUAUUUUAGGAGGUAUGUUUCCAUUUGACGUAGGUGCAUGGUUUUUUCUAGCCAUGAAGCAAACGUUGAGCCCAUUCUUUGAUCUUUGAAGUAAUUGGGUCGUUUAGAUGCAAGUUGGCCCAAAACAAAUGGGUUCAAUAUUUGAAAUUUAUUGGACUCAGAAAAGAAUUUUGUACUCAAAUGUAUUUCAGGUUUAGUAGGUCAUCUUUUAUAAAUAAAUAAAAAAUAUAAGUAAUUAUAAGAAAAUAAAAUGAGAAUGUAAAACGAAUUGCGUUUUUCUCAUCGACUAAAAUUAACUUAUGUAUUUAACUUUUGUAGAAGUCCUUUCAUCUAGUUUCUUCAAAAGCUUAAGUACAUGAGUUGAUUUUAGCAUAUUAAUUGAAGAAAUUCAAUAUAUUUUACCUUCUUUUUUUAUAAGUAUUUAUAAAGAAAUUUAUUCAAACAUAACGUAAAUUCAAAAUUUUAAGGAUAAGAAAUAAAAUACAAAAACUUACUUAUAUGUAAUUUUUCCUAAAAUGGGAGAAAACAUUUAUUCACCCUUAAGGUAUGAAUAAGUUUGCCACUGUUAACAUACAUAUCUUUGCAUUUUACAAAGUAAAUGAUAAGAAUAGUCAUAAAGCCUUAAACUGUUUAGGCGCAUGCAUGUAGGGUAAAGUUUCACUUUGAAAAGUAUUUUUCAAAUGCUAUCUUAGUAAGUUGUUAGAUAUAAGUUAUUUAAAAUACAAUUGACUUUAACAUGUAUGUGAGAUUAUUGUAACAUUGUAACUUAACUGGUCGUCUCACGUUUGAGUUAUAAAUAUACAAUUAUAUUAAAUAUCCAAAUUCAAAGUGGUAGCUUUACAUAAUAAUUUUACUUGAUUCGAUAAAAAUUGCUUUCAGUACAAAAAAAAUGCAUAUAAUCUAAAAAAAAAUUAUGCUAAGUAGGAAUUGAUAUUGGCACGGCUCAAUCAUAUCAAAGAAUCCAACCAUCACCCAAUCAUUAGGAAAUUUGAUUUGAUUGAACUGUUCCAACAUCCCCACAUACUCCUCCAACAAAAGAAAUUACUAUAAACAUUAACAUUUUCUACCUUUGUGUAUGAAGAACAUAGGCUUGAGUUCCGAGCUAUGUCAUCUUCCAGCAACGAACCAAAUAUCAGGAAUAAGGG